AGUGAACGCUGGCGGUAGGCCUAACACAUGCAAGUCGAACGGCAGCACAGUAAGAGCUUGCUCUUACGGGUGGCGAGUGGCGGACGGGUGAGGAAUACAUCGGAAUCUACUUUUUCGUGGGGAUAACGUAGGGAAACUUACGCUAAUACCGCAUACGACUUACGGGUGAAAGCAGGGGAUCUUCGGACCUUGCGCGAUUGAAUGAGCCGAUGUCGGAUUAGCUAGUUGGCGGGGUAAAGGCCCACCAAGGCGACGAUCCGUAGCUGGUCUGAGAGGAUGAUCAGCCACACUGGAACUGAGACACGGUCCAGACUCCUACGGGAGGCAGCAGUGGGGAAUAUUGGACAAUGGGCGCAAGCCUGAUCCAGCCAUACCGCGUGGGUGAAGAAGGCCUUCGGGUUGUAAAGCCCUUUUGUUGGGAAAGAAAAGCAGCAGGUUAAUACCCCGCUGUUCUGACGGUACCCAAAGAAUAAGCACCGGCUAACUUCGUG
rnacentral:rRNA from 1 species